rnacentral:rRNA from 1 species
AGUGAACGCUGGCGGUAGGCCUAACACAUGCAAGUCGAACGGCAGCACAGUAAGAGCUUGCUCUUACGGGUGGCGAGUUGCGGACGGGUGCGGAAUACAUCGGCAUCUACUUUUUCGUGGGGGAUAACGUAGGGAAACUUACGCUAAUACCGCAUACGACCUACGGGUGAAAGCAGGGGAUCUUCCGACCUUGCGCGAUUGAAUUAGCCGAUGUCGGCUUAGCUAGUUGGCGGGGUAAAGGCCCACCAAGGCGACGAUCCGUAGCUGGUCUGAGAGGAUGAUCAGCCACACUGGAACUGAGACACGGUCCAGAAUACUACGGGAGGCAGCAGUGGGGAAUAUUGGACAAUGGGCGCAAGCCUGAUCCAGCCAUACCGCGUGGGUGAAGAAGGCCUUCGGGUUGUAAAGCCCUUUUGUUGGGAAAGAAAAGCAGCAGGUUAAUACCCCGCUGUUCUGACGGUACCCAAAGAAUAAGCACCGGCUAACUUAGUG